UGAGGUUUGACCUGCCCAGUGGUUUAUCUAAACGGCUGCGGUGAAUAACUGUACAAAGGUAGCGAAAUCAGUUGUCCUUUAAAUGGGGGAAGGUAUGAAAGGUUUGACGAUAAAAAAGCUGUCUCUUUAAAAUAAUAUGAAGUUUCCUUUUAAGUGAAAAGGCUUAAAUUUUUAAAAAAGACGAGAAGACCCUAUUGAGCUUAAUUAUAUUUUUUUUAUAAAAGGAAUUGAAGUUUUAUUGGGGCAAUAGGAAGUUAUGAGAAACACUUUUUUAAAAUAAAGAUCCUCCACGGGAGAAGUAAGCAAAAGUUACCAUAGGGAUAACAGCGUUAUCUUUCUUAAGAGUUCUAAUUAAGGGAAAGGUUUGCGACCUCGAUGUUGGAUUAAGAUAUCUUUUUGGUGCAGCAGCUAAAAAAGUAAGACUGUUCGUCUUUUAAAAUUUUACGUGAUCU
rnacentral:rRNA from 1 species